AUGAAGUGUGUGCUGAUCGUCAGGCUCUGGUGUGCUCAGCUCGAUCUGAAGCUGAGACCGUCUGUCAGGCAUGCUCUCAACGUGCUGCGGUUAGAGGCGCCCUUGACUCCCCUCCCCUCAAGGAUGCCGGCUGCAAGCUACAUGCCACCGAUUAGUGGUACAGGGAGUUGCACAUCUUCAUCGAUGGUGACACGCCACAUCACCAGCAUCAUGUGUACAUCUUUGGUGGCAGCAACGGCGCGGCCGCCACUCAGUCGAGCUUGA
rnacentral:rRNA from 1 species